ACUCAAAUGAAUAGACGGGGGCCCGCACAAGCGGUGGAGCAUGUGGAUUAAUUCGAUGCAACGCGAAGAACCUUACCAAGGCUUGACAUGGAGAUGACAGGUGCAGAAAUGUACCGUUCCCUUCGGGGACAUCUCACACAGGUGGUGCAUGGUUGUCGUCAGCUCGUGUCGUGAGAUGUUGGGUUAAGUCCCGCAACGAGCGCAACCCUUAUCUUUAGUUUCCAGCACGUAAAGGUGGGCACGCUAGAGAGACUGCCGUGGAUAACACGGAGGAAGGUGGGGAUGAUGUCAAAUCAUCAUGCCCCUUACGCCUUGGGCUUCACACGUGCUACAAUGGUCUUUACAGCGUGAAGCGAAGCUGCGAAGUGGAGCGAACCACUAAAAAAGACCCCAGUUCGGAUUGUAGGCUGCAACUCGCCUGCAUGAAGUUGGAAUCGCUAGUAAUCGCGAAUCAGCAUGUCGCGGUGAAUACGUUCCCGGGCCUUGUACACACCGCCCGU
rnacentral:rRNA from 1 species